UACAGAGGUCUCAAGCGUUGUUCGGAUUCAUUGGGCGUCAAGGGUGCGUAGGCGGCUCGGUACGUCGGGUGUGAAAUCUCGGAGCUUAACUCCGAAACUGCAUUCGAUACUGCCGUGCUUGAGGACUGGAGAGGAGACUGGAAUUUACGGUGUAGCGGUGAAAUGCGUAGAUAUCGUAAGGAAGACCAGUGGCGAAGGCGGGUCUCUGGACAGUUCCUGACGCUGAGGCACGAAGGCCAGGGGAGCAAACGGG
rnacentral:rRNA from 1 species